rnacentral:rRNA from 1 species
UUAGGUUAAGCUACGAAGGGCGCACGGAGGAUGCCUUGGCGCCAAGAGCCGAUGAAGGACGGGGCAAACACCGAAAUGCCUCGGGGAGCCGUAAGCAGGCGUUGAUCCGGGGGUAUCCGAAUGGGGCAACCCGGCACUCGUAAUGGAGUGUCACUCAGCACUGAAUCCAUAGGUGUUGAGAGGUAGACCAGGGGAACUGAAACAUCUAAGUACCCUGAGGAAGAGAAAACAAUAGUGAUUCUCCUAGUAGCGGCGAGCGAACGGGGAACAGCCCAAACCGUGUGGCUUCGGCCAUGCGGGGUUGCGGGGCGUCUCACAUGGAGUUACAAAUCUGUUUGGUAGAAGAACGGCUUGGAACGGCCGACCGCAGAGGGUGAAAGUCCCGUAUUCAAAAUCAACCAGACUCCGAGACGAUACCCCAAGUACCGCGGGACACGAGAAAUCCCGUGGGAAUCAGGGAGGACCACCUCCCAAGGCUAAAUACUACUUGGCGA